UACGUAGGGGGCAAGCGUUGUCCGGAUUUAUUGGGCGUAAAGAGCUCGUAGGCGGUCUGUUGCGUCUGCUGUGAAAACUCGGGGCUUAACCCCGAGCCUGCAGUGGAUACGGGCAGACUAGAGGUAGGUAGGGGAGAAUGGAAUUCCCGGUGUAGCGGUGAAGUGCGCAGAUAUCGGGAGGAACACCUGUGGCGAAAGCGGCUCACUGGACCACAACUGACGCUGAUGCGCGAAAGCUAGGGGAGCAAACAGG
rnacentral:rRNA from 1 species